CCUAAAUAAAGCAUUUAUUAGUCCCAGUAUAGGCGAUAGAAAAGACACCAUUGGAGCGAUAGAGAUUACGUACCGUAAGGGAAAGAUGAAAUAGCAGUGAAAAAAUAAGCUAAAAAUAGCAAAGAUCAACCCUUGUACCUUUUGCAUCAUGGUCUAGCAAGAAAAACCAAGCAAAAUGAAUUUAAGUUUGCCACCCCGAAACCCAAGCGAGCUACUCACGAGCAGCUAUUAUUGAGCGAACCCGUCUCUGUUGCAAAAGAGUGGGAUGACUUGUUAGUAGAGGUGAAAAGCCAACCGAGCUGGGUGAUAGCUGGUUGCCUGUGAAACGAAUCUAAGUUCACUCUUAAUUCUUCUCCAAGGAACACCAAAACCCUAAUGAAGCGAAUUAAGGGCUACUUAAAGGAGGUACAGCUCCUUUAAAAAAGAAUACAAUCUCUACGAGCGGAUAAAUAAUCAAAAUACAAAAUUACUGUGGGCCCUCAAGCAGCCAUCAACAAAGAGUGCGUUAAAGCUCUGUGCUCUAAAAAUAUAAGAACCAUAUGACUCCCUCCCCACUAACAGGCUAACCUAUAACAAUAGGAGAAUUAAUGCUAGAAUGAGUAACCAGGGUUCUCCCUCUUCGACGCAAGCUUACAUCCGUACAUUAUUAACAAGCCACCAUAUACGA
rnacentral:rRNA from 1 species